rnacentral:pre_miRNA from 2 species
AGUGUAAUUACUGGAUCAUAUGGUAAAAGUAUGUUUAGUUUUGUAAGCAACUACCAAGCUGUAUUCCAAAGUGGCUGUACUAUUUUGCAUUCCCAUCAGCAAU